rnacentral:rRNA from 1 species
UACGUAGGUGGCAAGCGUUGUCCGGAUUUACUGGGCGUAAAGAGCGCGCAGGCGGUCGAGUAAGUCGAAUGUGAAAGCCCCCGGCUUAACUGGGGAGGGUCAUUCGAUACUGUUCGACUUGAAGGCAGGAGAGGGCAGCAGAAUUCCCGGUGUAGUGGUGAAAUGCGUAGAUAUCGGGAGGAAUACCAGUGGCGAAGGCGGCUGCCUGGCCUGUUCUUGACGCUGAGGCGCGAACGCUGGGGGAGCAAACGGG